GAUGAACGCUGGCGGCGUGCCUAAUACAUGCAAGUCGAGCGCGACUGAUUACACCGUUCUUCGGAACACCGUAAUCAUCGAGCGGCGGACGGGUGAGUAACACGUGGGCAACCUACCCUUAAGACUGGGAUAACCGCGGGAAACCGUGGCUAAUACCGGAUAAUACUUUUAUACAACGGUAUAGAAGUUGAAAGGUGGAUUUCUAUCACUUAAGGAUGGGCCUGCGGCGCAUUAGCUGGUUGGUAAGGUAACGGCUUACCAAGGCGACGAUGCGUAGCCGACCUGAGAGGGUGAUCGGCCACACUGGAACUGAGACACGGUCCAGACUCCUACGGGAGGCAGCAGUAGGGAAUCUUCCGCAAUGGGCGAAAGCCUGACGGAGCAACGCCGCGUGUGCGAAGAAGGUCUUCGGAUCGUAAAGCACUGUUGUUAAGGAAGAACGACAGUAAGAGUAACUGUUUACUGUGUGACGGUACUUAACCAGAAAGCCACGGCUAACUACGUG
rnacentral:rRNA from 1 species